UACGGGGGGGGGCAAGCGUUACUCGGAAUUACUGGGCGUAAAGCGUGCGUAGGCGGUUUGUUAAGUCCGCUGUGAAAGCCCUGGGCUCAACCUGGGAAUUGCAGUGGAUACUGGCAAGCUAGAGUGCGGUAGAGGAUGGUGGAAUUCCCGGUGUAGCGGUGAAAUGCGUAGAGAUCGGGAGGAACACCAGUGGCGAAGGCGGCUCGCUGGGCCGGACCUGACGCUGAGACGCGAAGGCGUGGGGAGCGAACGGG
rnacentral:rRNA from 1 species